ACGCUGGCGGCAUGCCUUACACAUGCAAGUCGAACGGCAGCGCGGGCUUCGGCCUGGCGGCGAGUGGCGAACGGGUGAGUAAUACAUCGGAACGUGCCCUGUCGUGGGGGAUAACUAGUCGAAAGAUUAGCUAAUACCGCAUACGACCUGAGGGUGAAAGCGGGGGACCGUAAGGCCUCGCGCGAUAGGAGCGGCCGAUGUCUGAUUAGCUAGUUGGUGGGGUAAAGGCCUACCAAGGCGACGAUCACUAGCUGGUCUGAGAGGACGAUCACCCACACUGGGACUGAGACACGGCCCAGACUCCUACGGGAGGCAGCAGUGGGGAAUUUUGCACAAUGGGGGCAACCCUGAUCCAUCAAUGCCCCGUGUGUGAAAAAGGCCUUCAGGUUUAAAUCACUUUUGUCCCGAAAGAAAUGGCCUGGGUUAAUACCCCGCGUUCAUUACGGUCCCGGAAAAAUAAGCACCGG
rnacentral:rRNA from 1 species